UGCAUUCUCUUCACUG
rnacentral:miRNA from 1 species